rnacentral:rRNA from 2 species
ACUAGUAUGGCGGCAGCUAUACAUGCAGUCGAGCGAACUGAUUAGAAGCUUGCUUCUAUGACGUUAGCGGCGGACGGGUGAGUAACACGUGGGCAACCUGCCUGUAAGACUGGGAUAACUUCGGGAAACCGAAGCUAAUACCGGAUAGGAUCUUCUCCUUCAUGGGAGAUGAUUGAAAGAUGGUUUCGGCUAUCACUUACAGAUGGGCCCGCGGUGCAUUAGCUAGUUGGUGAGGUAACGGCUCACCAAGGCAACGAUGCAUAGCCGACCUGAGAGGGUGAUCGGCCACACUGGGACUGAGACACGGCCCAGACUCCUACGGGAGGCAGCAGUAGGGAAUCUUCCGCAAUGGACGAAAGUCUGACGGAGCAACGCCGCGUGAGUGAUGAAGGCUUUCGGGUCGUAAAACUCUGUUGUUAGGGAAGAACAAGUACAAGAGUAACUGCUUGUACCUUGACGGUACCUAACCAGAAAGCCACGGCUAACUACGUGCCAGCAGCCGCGGUAAUACGUAGGUGGCAAGCGUUAUCCGGAAUUAUUGGGCGUAAAGCGCGCGCAGGCGGUUUCUUAAGUCUGAUGUGAAAGCCCACGGCUCAACCGUGGAGGGUCAUUGGAAACUGGGGAACUUGAGUGCAGAAGAGAAAAGCGGAAUUCCACGUGUAGCGGUGAAAUGCGUAGAGAUGUGGAGGAACACCAGUGGCGAAGGCGGCUUUUUGGUCUGUAACUGACGCUGAGGCGCGAAAGCGUGGGGAGCAAACAGGAUUAGAUACCCCUGGUAGUCCACGCCGUAAACGAUGAGUGCUAAGUGUUAGAGGGUUUCCGCCCUUUAUUGCUGCAGCUA